UACGUAGGGUGCGAGCGUUGUCCGGAAUUACUGGGCGUAAAGAGCUCGUAGGUGGUUUGUCGCGUUGUUCGUGAAAACUCACAGCUUAACUGUGGGCGUGCGGGCGAUACGGGCAGACUGGAGUACUGCAGGGGAGACUGGAAUUCCUGGUGUAGCGGUGAAAUGCGCAGAUAUCAGGAAGAACACCAAUGGCGAAAGCAGCUCUCUGGGACGGUACUGACGCUGAGACGCGAAAGCGUGGGGAGCGAACAGG
rnacentral:rRNA from 1 species